ACACGUAGGGGGCAAGCGUUGUCCGGAAUUAUUGGGCGUAAAGCGCGCGCAGGCGGCCAAUUAAGUCUAGUGUUUAAGCCCGGGGCUCAACCCCGGUUCGCACCGGAAACUGGUUGGCUUGAGUGCAGGAGAGGGAAGCGGAAUUCCAUGUGUAGCGGUGAAAUGCGUAGAGAUAUGGAGGAACACCAGUGGCGAAGGCGGCUUCCUGGCCUGUAACUGACGCUGAGGCGCGAAAGCGUGGUGAGCAAACAGGAUUAGAUACCCUGGUAGUCCACGCCGUAAACGAUGAGUGCUAGGUGUCAGGGGUUUCGAUACCCUUGGUGCCGAAGUCAACACAGUAAGCACUCCGCCUGGGGAGUACGGUCGCAAGACUGAA
rnacentral:rRNA from 1 species